rnacentral:rRNA from 1 species
AUUGAACGCUGGCGGCAUGCUUUACACAUGCAAGUCGAACGGCAGCACGGACUUCGGUCUGGUGGCGAGUGGCGAACGGGUGAGUAAUACAUCGGAACGUACCCAGUAAUGGGGGAUAACUAUCCGAAAGGAUAGCUAAUACCGCAUACGCCCUACGGGGGAAAGAGGGGGAUCGCAAGACCUCUUGUUAUUGGAGCGGCCGAUGGCUGAUUAGCUAGUUGGUAGGGUAAAGGCCUACCAAGGCAACGAUCAGUAGCGGGUCUUAGAGGACGAUCCGCCACACUGGAACUGAGACACGGUCCAGACUCCUACGGGAGGCAGCAGUGGGGAAUCUUGGACAAUGGGCGCAAGCCUGAUCCAGCAAUGCCGCGUGCGUGAAGAAGGCCUUCGGGUUGUAAAGCGCUUUUGUCAGGGAGCAAAUCCUUGUGGCUAAUACCCACCGGGGAUGAGAGUACCUGAAGAAUAAGGACCGGCUAACUACGCGCCAGCCGCCGCGGUAA